rnacentral:sRNA from 1 species
AGGCGGGAAGGAGUUGAUGUCCAGCUGACAUUGGAGGGAUUGGAUUGGAUUGGGUAGUUCGUGUGAGUUGCUCGCUCUCUCUCUUUUUUUUAAUCGUUUUGUUUUGUCAAUUUGCUUGUAUUUUGCAAAGUGAAUGAUUUGUUCUUUAUCUUUAUUUUUAUCCUUGAAUCUCUUUCUUUCUUUCUUUCUUCUUUCUUUUAUUGUUACUUGAUUUGAUUGCCUCAGUUGGCGAUUUCCGUUGGAGUCAGAUCGAAAGCUGAACAAAAUUAUCGUAUUUUCUCGGCGGAAAUCUACUAUAUCCGAACCAAAACUUUGCCCAGCACUUAUAUAAAGAUGGAUAACUAGUUAGUUAGUCAAACUAAUUAUUCAAAAUCAAAGAAUAUGCCUGAUCAGGCUUAGACCCAAUUAUUUGUCAAUGGAUUGACGAAAGCCCACGAUUAUGUGUGUGAACACUUGGCUGUGCAGAGCGGGUUAAACUUCAAGAACUUGUUGCGGACAAUGUAACGUCAUUUUACUUCUCUCCUUGGAGCGUUUGGCGAUACAAUACACAUUUCAAUAGCGAUUGCAGAAAUUGAGCGUCACUGUAGGCGGAGAAAUGAUAUCAUGUGUAACAUUCCGAGAAGAAAAGAGGGGAAUACAAGUGGGAUGGAUACAUGGUGGGACGCAGACGAGAGCAUAUAUCUCAAGAUUUAUUAAACAUGUCGAUCACAGAAGGAAACAUGAAAAAAAAAAAAAAAAAAAAAAAAACUAAGAGGGAAACAGUGACCAUUGAGUAAAUUCGCUUUUGCGGAUCCCCACAAUAUUUCAAUAUCGUGAAGUCGAAACCCUUCUGCUCGGAGUCAACUUUGACGCAAAACACCGCCUUCAAUCGCAAAAUAGAUAUCACGUCAACUGCUCUGGCGGAUUCUGAGGGGUCACAGCCAUCACAUCUCAUCCACGCUGGAUUUACCCUACCAAGUGAAUUGGCACUAAUUAUUUAUCACUUCUCAUACUUUUCCCAUCGCUUGCCAUCAGCUUCCUCAUUGCUGAUGGCGGAAAAUCUACAUUAAAACAUACCCACAUCGUCAAUUUCAGAGAUCUUCAAGAGAGAAAUAAGAUACUAAAGGUAGUACUAACCAUGUCCAUUUUGUCCAAGAUACCACCCCUGGGUAGUCAAUGAUUGUUUUUGAAUAGGGGACCAUCUCCUUAACCUCGCUCCGAAGGAUUUGCCGCUUAAGAAAAAGAGUAUCUUCAGAGACGGUCAUCACGGAAUUGAACAUCUCCAUGAUCAUGAUAUUGCUCAUACAGGUAGGCUUCAUCUUUCGUAGAGCAGUGAGGGGAAAUUUAUUCGGGGUGGUUAUCCAAGCAGGUUUUAUCGACUCCAAACGUGACCAAGAUGGAAUUAUUACUGAGUG